AGAGUUUGAUCCUGGCUCAGGAUGAACGCUGGCGGCGUGCCUAAUACAUGCAAGUCGAGCGAACGGACGAGAAGCUUGCUUCUCUGAUGUUAGCGGCGGACGGGUGAGUAACACGUGGAUAACCUACCUAUAAGACUGGGAUAACUUCGGGAAACCGGAGCUAAUACCGGAUAAUAUUUUGAACCGCAUGGUUCAAAAGUGAAAGACGGUCUUGCUGUCACUUAUAGAUGGAUCCGCGCUGCAUUAGCUAGUUGGUAAGGUGACGGCUUACCAAGGCAACGAUGCAUAGCCGACCUGAGAGGGUGAUCGGCCACACUGGAACUGAGACACGGUCCAGACUCCUACGGGAGGCAGCAGUAGGGAAUCUUCCGCAAUGGGCGAAAGCCUGACGGAGCAACGCCGCGUGAGUGAUGAAGGUCUUCGGAUCGUAAAACUCUGUUAUUAGGGAAGAACAUAUGUGUAAGUAACUGUGCACAUCUUGACGGUACCUAAUCAGAAAGCCACGGCUAACUACGUGCCAGCAGCCGCGGUAAUACGUAGGUGGCAAGCGUUAUCCGGAAUUAUUGGGCGUAAAGCGCGCGUAGGCGGUUUUUUAAGUCUGAUGUGAAAGCCCACGGCUCAACCGUGGAGGGUCAUUGGAAACUGGAAAACUUGAGUGCAGAAGAGGAAAGUGGAAUUCCAUGUGUAGCGGUGAAAUGCGCAGAGAUAUGGAGGAACACCAGUGGCGAAGGCGACUUUCUGGUCUGUAACUGACGCUGAUGUGCGAAAGCGUGGGGAUCAAACAGGAUUAGAUACCCUGGUAGUCCACGCCGUAAACGAUGAGUGCUAAGUGUUAGGGGGUUUCCGCCCCUUAGUGCUGCAGCUAACGCAUUAAGCACUCCGCCUGGGGAGUACGACCGCAAGGUUGAAACUCAAAGGAAUUGACGGGGACCCGCACAAGCGGUGGAGCAUGUGGUUUAAUUCGAAGCAACGCGAAGAACCUUACCAAAUCUUGACAUCCUUUGACAACUCUAGAGAUAGAGCCUUCCCCUUCGGGGGACAAAGUGACAGGUGGUGCAUGGUUGUCGUCAGCUCGUGUCGUGAGAUGUUGGGUUAAGUCCCGCAACGAGCGCAACCCUUAAGCUUAGUUGCCAUCAUUAAGUUGGGCACUCUAAGUUGACUGCCGGUGACAAACCGGAGGAAGGUGGGGAUGACGUCAAAUCAUCAUGCCCCUUAUGAUUUGGGCUACACACGUGCUACAAUGGACAAUACAAAGGGCAGCGAAACCGCGAGGUCAAGCAAAUCCCAUAAAGUUGUUCUCAGUUCGGAUUGUAGUCUGCAACUCGACUACAUGAAGCUGGAAUCGCUAGUAAUCGUAGAUCAGCAUGCUACGGUGAAUACGUUCCCGGGUCUUGUACACACCGCCCGUCACACCACGAGAGUUUGUAACACCCGAAGCCGGUGGAGUAACCUUUUAGGAGCUAGCCGUCGAAGGUGGGACAAAUGAUUGGGGUGAAGUCGUAACAAGGUAGCCGUAUCGGAAGGUGCGGCUGGAUCACCU
rnacentral:rRNA from 1 species